CCAGUACAAAAGCUGGCAUUUUAAAGCAAGACAAAAAGACCCCAUGGAACUUUAAUAAACUAUUAAUAAAAUUUAAUAGAAUAUUUUAGUUGGGACAACUAUAGAAAAACUAAACUUCUAAGUAUAGUAAGACUAACUAGUCUAAUAAACUCUAAAUUUGAUCCAGUCAAACUGAUUAAUGAAACAAGCUACCCUGGGGAUAACAGCGCCACCUUCUUAAAGAGUUCAUAUCAACAAGAAGACCUACGACCUCGAUGUUGGAUCAGGAUAUCCAGAC
rnacentral:rRNA from 1 species